CGAGGCUUUGGGAAAGACGCGCGAGAUCGCGGCGGUGGGUCUGUUCUUGAUCUUGGUCGGUGUGCGGCGGACGCUGUUCUUGGUUGGGACACGGGUUUGAUCCCUGGUCCGGGAGGAUCCCACAUGCAGCGGAGCGAUUAAGCCUGUGCGGCACAACUACUGAGCCUGCGCUCUAGAGCCCGCGAGCCACAACUACUGGAGCCCGAGCUCCGCAGUAAGAGAAGCCACCGCAAUGAGAAGCCCACGCACUGCACUGAAGAGUAGCCCCUGCUCGCUGUGACUAGAGAAAGCCCGCGCGCAGUAGCAAAGACCCAAAGCAGCCAAAACUCUGGCCUCCUCCCCUUUUAAGAAAGCCUUUGGAGAAAGUAUUGAAGCCAGGAGAUGCUGGCUUCCCUUCCUGAGAUGGAGCCCAGGCAUACCUUGGAGAUAUUGCCAGUUUGGUCCCAGACCACCGCAAAAAAGAGAAUAUCACAAUAAAGGACUGGUGGUGUUUGUGGGUCUGGCUGUGUGCUAUGGACUGAACUGUGUCCCCCCAGAACUCAUGUUGAAGCCCUAACCCCCAACGAGACUAUAUCUGGAGACAGGGUCUAUAGGAGGUAACUAAGAUUAAAGGAAGAAAGGCAUCUCUGUCUCUUUCCACCAAGUGAGGACAGAGAAGUCACCAUCUAUGAGCCAGGAAGACAGUCUUCACCAGGAACCGAAUCUGCUGGCACCUUGAUCUUGGACUUCCUGCCUCCAGAAGUAAGGGUGUGAAUCUUCACCCUAUUCUGAGCCACAUCUGGGCCGACCGCG